rnacentral:rRNA from 1 species
UACGAAGGUGGCAAGCGUUGUUCGGAUUUACUGGGCGUAAAGGGCGCGUAGGCGGCCUGUUAAGUCGAACGUGAAAUCCCCGGGCUCAACCCGGGAACUGCAUCCGAUACUGCGUGGCUAGAGGUAGGUAGGGGAGAUCGGAAUUCCUGGUGUAGCGGUGAAAUGCGCAGAUAUCAGGAGGAACACCGGUGGCGAAGGCGGAUCUCUGGGCCUUACCUGACGCUCAGGCACGAAAGCUAGGGGAGCGAACAGG